AUGGCAGGAGGAACUGGAGCCCAGUUAGUGACCCAGCCUGACGGUCACAUCAGCGUCUCUGAAGGAAACCGUCUGGAGCUGAGAUGCAACUAUUCUUAUGGUGGAUCUAUUAAUCUCUUCUGGUAUGUCCAGUACCCCAGUCAAGGCCUCCAGGUUCUACUGAAGUAUUUAUCAGGGCCCACCCAGGUUAAAGGCAUCAAAGGCUUCGAGGCUGAAUUCAAGAAGGAUGAAAAGUCCUUCCACCUGAUGAAAGCUUCAGCCCAUUGGAGUGACUCUGCCAAGUACUUCUGUGCUCUGUGUGACACAGUGCCUGAGUCUGCAGGGGGAGCUGAACAAAAACCUUCUAGACAUUGUAGCUUAAAACACUCAGAGUCUCAGCCUGACCUAGUUUUAGAGAGGUCUCUGAUCUGA